AACGGAGGGGGCAAGCGUUAUUCACCUUGACUGGGCGUAAAGAGUAUGUAGAUGGUUUUUUUUUUUUCUGAAAUAAGUAAUCCAAGCUUAACUUUUGAAGUUAUUUCUUAUAAAAUAAAACUUGAGAUUUAUAGGAGUAAGUUACAUUUUUAAAGUAGAGGUGAAAUUCAUGUAUAUUAAAAAGAUAUUCGUAUGGCGAAAGCUACUUACUAUAUAUAUUCUGACAUUGAGAUACGAAAGCAUGGGGAUCAAACAGG
rnacentral:rRNA from 1 species